rnacentral:rRNA from 1 species
GCCCAGCUUGCUGGGUGGAUUAGUGGCGAACGGGUGAGUAACACGUGAGUAACCUGCCCCUGACUCUGGGAUAAGCGUUGGAAACGACGUCUAAUACUGGAUAUGACUGCCGGCCGCAUGGUCUGGUGGUGGAAAGAUUUUUUGGUUGGGGAUGGACUCGCGGCCUAUCAGCUUGUUGGUGAGGUAAUGGCUCACCAAGGCGACGACGGGUAGCCGGCCUGAGAGGGUGACCGGCCACACUGGGACUGAGACACGGCCCAGACUCCUACGGGAGGCAGCAGUGGGGAAUAUUGCACAAUGGGCGAAAGCCUGAUGCAGCAACGCCGCGUGAGGGAUGACGGCCUUCGGGUUGUAAACCUCUUUUAGUAGGGAAGAAGCGAAAGUGACGGUACCUGCAGAAAAAGCACCGGCUAACUACGUGCCAGCAGCCGCGGUAAUACGUAGGGUGCAAGCGUUGUCCGGAAUUAUUGGGCGUAAAGAGCUCGUAGGCGGUUUGUCGCGUCUGCUGUGAAAUCCCGAGGCUCAACCUCGGGCUUGCAGUGGGUACGGGCAGACUAGAGUGCGGUAGGGGAGAUUGGAAUUCCUGGUGUAGCGGUGGAAUGCGCAGAUAUCAGGAGGAACACCGAUGGCGAAGGCAGAUCUCUGGGCCGUAACUGACGCUGAGGAGCGAAAGC